GCCUACGGGAGGCAGCAGUGAGGAAUAUUGGUCAAUGGCCGCAGGGCUGAACCAGCCAAGUCGCGUGAGGGAUGACGGUCCUGCGGGUCGUAAACCUCUUUUGCCGGGGAGCAGAGGUCCGGACGUGUCCGGGCCGGGAGAGUACCCGGAGAAAAAGCAUCGGCUAACUCCGUGCCAGCAGCCGCGGUAAUACGGAGGAUGCGAGCGUUAUCCGGAUUUAUUGGGUUUAAAGGGAGCGUAGGCGGCAGGGCAAGCCUGAUGUGACAGCCCGGGGCUCAACCCCGGGACUGCAUUGGUAACUGCCC
rnacentral:rRNA from 1 species